rnacentral:rRNA from 1 species
UACGAAGGGGGCUAGCGUUGCUCGGAAUCACUGGGCGUAAAGCGCACGUAGGCGGAUCUUUAAGUCAGGGGUGAAAUCCCGGAGCUCAACUCCGGAACUGCCUUUGAUACUGAGGGUCUUGAGUCCGGGAGAGGUGAGUGGAACUGCGAGUGUAGAGGUGAAAUUCGUAGAUAUUCGCAAGAACACCAGUGGCGAAGGCGGCUCACUGGCCCGGUACUGACGCUGAGGUGCGAAAGCGUGGGGAGCAAACAGG